UACGAAGGGUGCAAACGUUGCUCGGAAUUAUUGGGCGUAAAGCGCACGUAGGCGGCUUUGCAAGUCGGAUGUGAAAUCCCACGGCUUAACUCAGGAAGUGCAUCCGAAACUGGCAGGCUAGAGUACUAAAGAGGGUCGCGGAAUUCCCGGUGUAGAGGUGAAAUUCGUAGAUAUCGGGAGGAACACCGGUGGCGAAGGCGGCGACCUGGGUAGAUACUGACGCUGAGGUGCGAAAGCGUGGGGAGCAAACAGG
rnacentral:rRNA from 1 species